ACAAUGGAGAGUUUGAUCCUGGCUCAGGAUGAACGCUAGCUGCAGGCUUAACACAUGCAAGUCGAGGGGAAACGACAUCGAAAGCUUGCUUUUGAUGGGCGUCGACCGGCGCACGGGUGAGUAACGCGUAUCCAACCUGCCCACCACUUGGGGAUAACCUUGCGAAAGU
rnacentral:rRNA from 1 species